rnacentral:rRNA from 1 species
UGGGGAAUAUUGGACAAUGGGGGAAACCCUGAUCCAGCCAUGCCGCGUGAGUGAUGAAGGCCUUCGGGUUGUAAAGCUCUUUUGUCAGGGAAGAUGAUGACUGUACCUGAAGAAUAAGCCCCGGCUAACUUCGUGCCAGCAGCCGCGGUAAUACGAAGGGGGCUAGCGUUGUUCGGAAUUACUGGGCGUAAAGGGCGCGUAGGCGGCCUUCCAAGUCAGGAGUGAAAGCCCUGGGCUCAACCCGGGAAUUGCUCUUGAAACUGGAAAGCUUGAGUUCGAGAGAGGUGAGUGGAAUACCCAGUGUAGAGGUAAAAUUCGUAGAUAUUGGGUGGAACACCAGUGGCGAAGGCGGCUCACUGGCUCGAAACUGACGCUGAGGCGCGAAAGCGUGGGGAUCAAA